AGGGCACCACCAGGAGUGGAGCCUGCGGCUUAAUUUGACUCAACACGGGGAAACUCACCCGGCCCGGACACCGGAAGGAUUGACAGAUUGAUAGCUUUUUCAUGAUUCGGGGGAUGGUGGUGCAUGGCCGGUCUUAGUUCGGGGAGCGAUUUGUCUGGUUUAUUCCGAUAACGAGCGAGACUCUGGCCCACUAAAUAGUUGGCAGAUUGCUUCUGGGGGGGGAACUUUUUUAAGGGGUUUUCGGGGUGUACCCCCCCAAAAAAUAGAAAAAAAAGGGCUGUGAGGCCCCUUUAGGUGCGGGGGGGCGCCCGCGCUCCACUGUGAAAAAAUCCGGGGGGUUGGUCCCCCCCAAAAGGGGGUGGUAACCCCGAGAAAAUGUGGCGUGUUUGAGUUCAGAUUUGCAAUUAUUUGCCCGGAAACGAGGAAAUUCCCUGGGAGGGGGGGGGUCUUCGCUCGGGUUUGAAUACCCCCCGCGCCCUUUGCCCCCCCCCCCCCCGCGGUGCCCCGGGAGUGAACUUU
rnacentral:rRNA from 1 species